UGCUCCUUCUUAUGAGCUAAACCCAUCAGUA
rnacentral:piRNA from 2 species